rnacentral:misc_RNA from 1 species
GAAAUGCGAUAAGUAAUGUGAAUUGCAGAAUUCAGUGAAUCAUCGAAUCUUUGAACGCACCUUGCGCUCCUUGGUAUUCCUUGGAGCAUGCCUGUUUGAGUAUCAUGAAAUCUUCAAAGUAAAUCUUUUGUUAACUCAAUUGGUUUCUACUUUGGUAUUGGAGGUCUUUGCAGCUUCACACCUGCUCCUCUUUGUUCAUUAGCUGGAUCUCAGUGUUAUGCUUGGUUCCACUCGGCGUGAUAAGUUAUCUAUCGCUGAGGACACUGUAAAAGGUGGCCAAGGUAAAUGCAGAUGAACCGCUUCUAAUAGUCCAUUGACUUGGACAAUACUUUUAUGAUCUGAUCUCAAAUCAGGUAGGACUAGCCGCUGAACUUAAGC